rnacentral:rRNA from 1 species
AUUGAACGCUGGCGGCAUGCCUUACACAUGCAAGUCGAACGGCAGCACGGGAGUAAUCCUGGUGGCGAGUGGCGAACGGGUGAGUAAAGCAUCGGAACGUGCCCAGUCGUGGGGGAUAACGUAGCGAAAGCUACGCUAAUACCGCAUACGAUCUGUGGAUGAAAGCGGGGGACCGUAGGGCCUCGCGCGAUUGGAGCGGCCGAUGUCAGAUUAGGUAGUUGGUGAGGUAAAGGCUCACCAAGCCGACGAUCUGUAGCUGGUCUGAGAGGACGACCAGCCACACUGGGACUGAGACACGGCCCAGACUCCUACGGGAGGCAGCAGUGGGGAAUUUUGGACAAUGGGCGCAAGCCUGAUCCAGCAAUGCCGCGUGCAGGAUGAAGGCCUUCGGGUUGUAAACUGCUUUUGUACGGAGCGAAAAGGCUUCCACUAAUACUGGGGGCUCAUGACGGUACCGUAAGAAUAAGCACCGGCUAACUACGUG